UGCAAGUCGAGCGGACUUGAGAGAAGCUUGCUUCUCUGAUGGUUAGCGGCGGACGGGUGAGUAACACGUAGGCAACCUGCCCUCAAGCUUGGGACAACUACCGGAAACGGUAGCUAAUACCGAAUAGUUGUUUUCUUCUCCUGAAGAAAACUGGAAAGACGGAGCAAUCUGUCACUUGGGGAUGGGCCUGCGGCGCAUUAGCUAGUUGGUGGGGUAACGGCUCACCAAGGCGACGAUGCGUAGCCGACCUGAGAGGGUGAUCGGCCACACUGGGACUGAGACACGGCCCAGACUCCUACGGGAGGCAGCAGUAGGGAAUCUUCCGCAAUGGGCGAAAGCCUGACGGAGCAAUGCCGCGUGAGUGAUGAAGGUUUUCGGAUCGUAAAGCUCUGUUGCCAGGGAAGAACGCUUGGGAGAGUAACUGCUCUCAAGGUGACGGUACCUGAGAAGAAAGCCCCGGCUAACUACGUGCCAGCAGCCGCGGUAAUACGUAGGGGGCAAGCGUUGUCCGGAAUUAUUGGGCGUAAAGCGCGCGCAGGCGGUCAUUUAAGUCUGGUGUUUAAUCCCGGGGCUCAACCCCGGAUCGCACUGGAAACUGGGUGACUUGAGUGCAGAAGAGGAGAGUGGAAUUCCACGUGUAGCGGUGAAAUGCGUAGAUAUGUGGAGGAACACCAGUGGCGAAGGCGACUCUCUGGGCUGUAACUGACGCUGAGGCGCGAAAGCGUGGGGAGCAAACAGGAUUAGAUACCUGGUAGUC
rnacentral:rRNA from 1 species